GAUAGGUGUGCAUAAAGCAUUAAUGGCUAUAAAAGAUGUUGAAGGAAUGCUUCGUUCUUUAGAUCCCCAGUACUAUGAUAUUCUUAUGAACUAGAAGCACCUGCAGCUGAUGAAUUUGCACUUUGUGACAAAAUCUUUUACUAGAUAUGCAUAUAGAGGAUUGUCGAGUGGAAAUCGCACAACAUGUGAUCAGUGUCUUAAAAUCCAUGAAAAGCUGACAGAGAAAGCCGGUUUCGGAUGCAUACUUCGUUCCCUUGUAGACACUGUAAAUACAGUUUAACUCUAUUUACUCCUUUCCUUUGAAAAGAUAAUUAUUAUGAAAAUGUUCAGCAUUUUUUAUUCAUUGUUCCACAUAUAUGUGAACCACAAAUUUUGCUCCAGUGAAUUAUUAAAGGCUAUAAUUUAUCAUAAAUUAAUAAUACAAUAUUUGUCUUUUCAA